AUUGAACGCUGGCGGCAGGCCUAACACAUGCAAGUCGAGCGGAUGAAGGGAGCUUGCUCCUGGAUUCAGCGGCGGACGGGUGAGUAAUGCCUAGGAAUCUGCCUGGUAGUGGGGGAUAACGUCCGGAAACGGGCGCUAAUACCGCAUACGUCCUGAGGGAGAAAGUGGGGGAUCUUCGGACCUCACGCUAUCAGAUGAGCCUAGGUCGGAUUAGCUAGUUGGUGGGGUAAAGGCCUACCAAGGCGACGAUCCGUAACUGGUCUGAGAGGAGGAUCAGUCACACUGGAACUGAGACACGGUCCAGACUCCGACGGGAGGCAGCAGUGGGGAAUAUUGGACAAGGGGCGAAAGCCUGAUCCAGCCAUGCCGCGUGUGUGAAGAAGGUCUUCGGAUUGUAAAGCACUUUAAGUUGGGAGGAAUGGCAGUAAGUUAAUACCUUGCUGUUUUGACGUUACCAACAGAAUAAGCACCGGCUAACUUCGU
rnacentral:rRNA from 1 species